AAUAAAUUAAAUUACCGAGCAAUAUAUCAUUUUUAUAUAAAACACGUAAUAAAAAUUCACUAUAAAUAAUUAAUUACUGUAGACAGGCAACGCGAAGAAAGUAAUAAUAGUACUUAAUAAAUAAACUGUAUUAAUUUUUCGCUUUAAUUAAAGACCGCGCAUGAAAUGAGUUUUUUAAAGCCCAUCCAAGUGGUAUAGACAAAAUUUCACUUUUUAUUAUUAUAUGAAGCCAACAACCGGGACGUCCCUUGGAAUAUUGUUGCGUGUCUACAAGUUUGAUACCAACGCUGAAACUCAUGAAAUUGUAGGAAAGUAUAUUAUUGCGUUACACAUUAUUAUUACGUUCGUUCAGUUAUGCAAAAUGAAAAAAAAAAUAUAUUUAACCAGAAGAAAGUUACUAGCCACUAAGUAUCGCGUCCAAGACGUUGGCAAAAAAUAAACAGAGUCCUGGGAGCAAAGCACCGUUUUAAUAUUACUCAAUGGACUGUUUAAUUGUUGAGCUGGAGAAAUGCACGCAUUUCCUUUAAUUAUUUCUGGCUUAUGUUAUGAUUUAUGAUUUAUGAUUGAGAAGAUUAUAAAAGAUAAUGCAAAAGAAGUUAAGUGAAUUAUGAAUGAUAAGCCAGAUAUCAUCUUGUUAACAAAACCGUGUCUUUUAGAUU